AGUGGAUCACCACAGGCAAAAUCAAGAUCUAGUAAAAAAACCCACAUCAGAAACUUCUCCAGAUGAGGUUUCUGAAGUCUGUGUUGGUAAUUAAGCUCCAGCACUGAGUGUCCCUGUGCAGCUUCUCCCUCAGUGCUCUGCAGACUCUCCAGGGCGUGUUUAACCUCAUGCUCGUGCACAGAAGUAGCUGAACUCUUACACAAAUGUGACUUGGCAUUUUUAAAAAAUGGAUGUUUUUAAAUGCUAAAAAUGCCUGAAGUCUGCUGAAGCACAUAAAGAAGGUCAUGAGGGGGAUGAGCAGGAGCAGCCCUGCUGCACUGGAAUGGCCACCUGUGGCAUUCCCAGUAAACCCAGCAGAGGUGCUGGCUACAGGCCUGUGCUACUGCCUUGCUGGUUACAAGGAAAGGGGAAAAUUUGAAUUAAUUAUAUCACUAAAGGUGUUUCUAGAACAUUUUGAGCUUUAUUUUGGUGUGGUAGCUCUAAGCUAUGGGUGUAUUGGUAAUGGCAUGGAUCCAGGUCCCCUGGGCCCAGAGGUUCCUACAAAGUUGUUUUUAUCAGAGAAAUGAAUUCCUCUCCAAUUCCAGGAAAACAGAGUCCAAUGUGACACACUGAAGUUUAUAGAUUUACAUUUGUAACAGCAUUUAUCUACCUGGGGAAUGCCUUUGGUGCUUGCCAUUGCAGUGGCAGGUGUGGAGCAGCACUGGGCUGUCAGCUUUAACCCUGGGGUCCAGCUCCAUCGUUUCAGACUUUGCUGGACGUUGCUUUGUGUCGGAGCCGUUGUUGGGUGGAAUGUCCUUUCCAUUACUGAGUGUAAUAAACUCUCCAGGGAUGAAUGCUGCACGCUGUUCCAAAACACAGCUUCCUUCCAUGAAAGCCUCCUAUGGAAUAUCUGCUGUGCUGAGGAAAUCCGAUGCUUUUGUACAUAUCAAAAUACAAUAAACCUCCAUUUCUUCGCCCUCCAUCUUUCUCCAGUUUCCAGCCUCCCUGUUGCUGUUGGCACAGCUCUGAGUGCAAAUUCCAUGGUUUUGGGGAGCACAGGGAAGGGGCAGUGCUGGGACACCGGUGCCAGGCUGGGGGCUCCUCACCUGCAGCCCUGCCUGCCAUUUCCAGGGCAGGAGAUGCUGCAGGGUCCCCUGGGACACCUGGGCAAGCCGGGAUCCUCUGCGAGGAGCCGGGAUUUGGGAUCCCUCAGUUCAGCCCAGCAUGAUCUGGUUUUAUUUAUCCUGGGAGGGAUGUGGGAUACAGAGCACUUGGAAACAGCUCGACAGCCGCUAAAAUAAAUGUUCUUCUCUGUUUGUUCCUUGGCUUGCAUCCGGAAAUGAAAUGUGCUGCAUUAGGAAUCUCAAACUUUGACUGUCUUACUGAGUCUUUAAUUGAAUACAGGUCAAAAAGCAUGGCUGACUCCUAUUGCUGCAGCAGGAAAAAUCUCUGAUCUUGGAGAGGCUGUGGGUAUGACACAUUGCUGCUGUGGGUACAAGACAUCAGUGCUGUACAAAACCCCUUUAUGUUCAUUGGGACGUGACAGGUUUUGAGUGGCUGAAUUUCGCAAUAGGAAAUAAUCAGAUCAAUAAAGACUUUCAUGCUGGUCUUGGGUAAAACUACAGCAAGUUCUGAAUGCAGGCUGAGAGCUUUCUGUCUAAAGCUGCAUUUUUGAUAUGAAGAGAAAAUGCCUUUUUUUCUCCAUGCUGUCUCAGGGCUGAAGGUACUUGUCAAGAUGUGUGCAGAAAUGAUUUCCCAAGGAAGCUCAGCUCUGCAAGGUGCUGUGACCUGGGCUGGAGCUGGAGUUCUGAGCUGGAACCCUGUGGCCAGAAGCUGGUUUAGAUCGAAGUCCAGCUGGUUUGUCCUGCUGAAUUGUCCCUGCCAGCCCUGAGCCAGCAGGGACUUGUGCAAUUAAACAGUUUUUAAACCUCUGCCAGCAUGUUAAUAAAGCCUUGUUUAUGUGCAAAGCACUUGGAAAACAACUCUAAACACUGGAUUUAUUUGCAGUAAAUGUUGUACUUAAUGAUGGAAGGUUUUCUUCUGAAUUUGCAAACAUUGUGCACAUUUUUUGCUUUGUUUCCCAGCAGAGGAGCAGGCACUGGUUACCUGUUGGAAGGAGUGAGUGGGAGGUUCUAAAGCACCUCUCUUUCCCUGUGCUGUGUCCGAGGAGCAGCUCCCUGCAGUGAUGGAACAUUUGAUGGCCCCAAGGCAAUGCUGACCUUCCUUCAGCACAGACAGUGCCCUGCCAGCAGCCGAGGAAGGGACAUGUCCCAGUCAAGAGAUGGAGGCACCCACAGCUGGACCUCCAGCAUUUGAACUAAAUGCAGUCUUUCCUUUUCUAGAAAAGGACUUUCAGAAUUCCUUUUUCACUGUAAGGAUGAAAAAGGGCAGCUUGGCUUCUUCCCUUUUCUAAAAGACUCAGCUAAUUUCUGAGUCCUUCCUGGAAAAACAUUUUCUGAUGUUGAAAUUA